rnacentral:rRNA from 1 species
CGGUCCAGACUCCUACGGGAGCAGCAGUAGGGAAUCUUCCGCAAUGGGCGAAAGCCUGACGGAGCAACGCGCGUGAGUGAUGAAGGUCUUCGGAUCGUAAAACUCUGUUAUUAGGGAAGAACAAAUGUGUAAGUAACUAUCACGUCUUGACGGUACCUAAUCAGAAAGCCACGGCUAACUACGUGCCAGCAGCCGCGGUAA